ACGAAAGCCUGUAACUGUUUUACAUGAUGGUAGGAUUGUUGGUGUCCUUUUUUCUGUUUCAUAAACAUGCAUGAUUUCAAGUACGUCUUGCUACUUCUGUUUACACUUAGGUCACACUAUACAUACCCCUCUGGGUUUUCUUCUAUUUUCUUUCUAGUUCUUGUUCUUGUUCUUGUCUAUUUCCUCUUAUCUCCAUGGGGAAGUGGAACAGAAUUCUUCCUCCGUAAGCCAUGCAUGUUGUAAGAGGCGACUAAAAUGCCGGGAGCAAGGGGCUAGUAACCCCUUCUCCUGUAUAUAUUACUAAAUUUAAAAGGCAAAACUUUCGUUUUUCCUUUCGGGCCACCCCACCUCAGUGGGAUACGGCUGAUACGUUGAAAGAAUAAUAAUAAUAAAUCUUUAUUUCUACAAGUACAGUACAUAAUACAACUUAAACUGACCUAGCUGACAUCAAUGGCACACCAUACAGAAAGCCCCAGGUUAUGCACAGCAUUUCAGGUAAUUAGGUUAAUUUUAUUUCCAGGACAGGACCCACACCAGUUGGCUAAUGCCCAGAUACCUACUUUGCAGCUAGGUGAACAGGGACAGCAGGUGUCUUAAGAAAUCAUUCUCAAGGUUUCCACUCUUACCAGGGAUCAAACCAUGGGCACUCAACAUGCAAGCCUGAGUCGUAGGGAGUCAACUGUGAGAGAGUCAACAGCCAGCUGACCAGCCUGAAGGGAGCCAACGCCAUCUCCCAGAAGCUCACUGCAGAACUCGAAGGACACUGGAUCAGGUGGCGAACUCCUGUUAAUGAAGCAUGUACUGUUUGAGGAUUGUAGGACAACCUAUAGUUAUCUGCAUUUGAUUCAGACACAACCUGCCCAGUUAAGUAUUUGAAAGAAAAAUUAAUUAAAUUGAAAUGGAAUUAAUUACUAUUAAAAAUUCUCCAAGUUUAAAGGUGUAUAUUUAAAAACCACUUACAAGCUGCAAUAUUUAGC